AUUAAACGCUGGCGGCAUGCCUUACACAUGCAAGUCGAACGGCAGCACGGGGGCAACCCUGGUGGCGAGUGGCGAACGGGUGAGUAAAGCAUCGGAACGUGCCCUGGGAGUGGGGGAUAACGUAGCGAAAGUUACGCUAAUACCGCAUAUUCUGUGAGCAGGAAAGCAGGGGAUCGCAAGACCUUGCGCUCUGGGAGCGGCCGAUGUCGGAUUAGCUAGUUGGUGGGGUAAAGGCCUACCAAGGCGACGAUCCGUAGCGGGUCUGAGAGGAUGAUCCGCCACACUGGGACUGAGACACGGCCCAGACUCCUAC
rnacentral:rRNA from 1 species